rnacentral:rRNA from 1 species
UACGGAGGGAGCUAGCGUUAUUCGGAAUUACUGGGCGUAAAGCGCACGUAGGCGGCUUUGUAAGUUAGAGGUGAAAGCCCAGAGCUCAACUCUGGAACUGCCUUUAAGACUGCAUCGCUUGAAUCCGGGAGAGGUGAGUGGAAUUCCGAGUGUAGAGGUGAAAUUCGUAGAUAUUCGGAAGAACACCAGUGGCGAAGGCGGCUCACUGGACCGGCAUUGACGCUGAGGUGCGAAAGCGUGGGGAGCAAACAGG